GUGGCUAGACAUGUCUCAAAAUGUGUAGUCUGAAGGCCUGGCUGGGGAGAAAUCCCGAGCCACCUGUGACAUCAAGAUCAAGAUCAACGAGGUGAGCACUGAGCUGACCCCUAGUGAUGCUGACCCUUAGUGACCCUUAUAUUUAGUAGUGCUUACCGCUCGUGACGGUUCAAGAGGCCUGGGAGCCAGUGGUCACAAAGGGCGCCUCCUCUCUGUCCCAUGGCGGUCAUAUUUAUUAGUGAACGUGUUUGUGUUCUGGCCCGUGACAACACCCUCGGGGAGACAGUUCCGCUGGCUGGUAAUUCUUGCGGAUGUGGUGUUGGCCAUGCUGGGAGGAACACAGCGCCAGGAGACAGCUGCUCAAGUGAGGGUCUGAAGCGGACGCUGUGCUCAGCGCUCGCUGCGUCCAUGCUGCCACUGACCUCAGGACCCCUUGGUGCAUCCCUUGCCUCGCCUGCCGCUUGGUCCCUGAGUGUGGCGUCGGGGGAACCUUGCCACCCGCUGCAGCUUCCCUGAGGUUCCUGCAAGACCCUCACCCCAGGAGUGGUGGGCAGGGGAGGCUGCAAGGCCGGGUAGCAGCCUGAGUGGCGGGACCAGCAGGAACACUGCCACUGCUGUGCUGUGAGGACCAGAAGAACACAGCCAUUACCAACAACAACAUCACCACCACCACCUUGCUGCUGCCAUCUCCAGAAAGGAAAAGGAAAGUUUGAGUGUGACAAGAUUUGAGACUGGGAAGAAGUUCAGCAGACACAGCCUUGCACACAUUGGUGAGGGAAACCAUGAGUGGCCAGCGUGUGGGGAAAGACUCCCUGGGAAGGCUGACCUCAGGAAAUACACCCACACACUCUGCUGAAGGACCCCAUGAAUGCCUCGACUGUGGCAAAAAGUUCAGUUACAAGAGUAAACUCAACAGACACACCCUUACACACACUGGUGAAAGGCCUCAUGAAUGCCAGGAGUGUGGAAAAAGGUUUACACAGAAGAGUAUCCUCAACACACACACCCUUACACACACUGGUGAAAAGCCUCAUGAGUGUGAGGUUUGUGGUGAGACAUUCAGUAUGAAGAGCCUGCUCAAAGCACACACUUAUAAACAUUCUGGUGAAAGGCCUCAUGAAUGCCAAGAGUGUGGAAAAAGGUUUACACAGAAGAGUAUCCUCAACAUACACACCCUUACACACACUGGUGAAAGGCCUCAUGAGUGUGAGGUUUGUGGUGACACAUUCAUUACGAAGAUCCAGCUCAAGGUACACACUUAUAAACACACUGGUGAAAGGCCUCAUGAGUGUCUGGAAUGUGGAGAAAGGUUCAGAGGGAAGCAAACCUUGGAGCGUCACAUCUUCAGACACUCUGGCCUGAGAGAGUUUAAGUGUGAUGUGUGUGGGAAGCACUUCAAGAUGAAGACGGACAUUGCCCAGCACAUGAAGACCCACUUCUGAGGUGCCGUGUUGUGCUGCUGUGUGGGACCUCAGUGACGGGGAACCAGUCAUCAACACCACCUGGAGAGGACUGGCACCAUGUUGUGGCUGACUGCUGAGAGAUGCACCAACAAGCUGCACCACAGUGAACAGUGCCGUCUGCCCCGAGCCAGUGGUAACAACUCUGUCACCUUGCCCCCAGCACAGUGCAGCAGCCAACAAGCUGCACCACAGUGAACAGUGCCAUCUGCCCUGAGCCAGUGGUGACAACCCUGUCACCUUGCCUUGGCACAGUGCAGCAGCGGUGACUCGGGCCGCCACAACCGACCAUCAACAGGAUUAGCAAGGAGACGCUGUGUGAAGGUUUGUCAAGUUUGGGUAUGAGUGGACUGCUGCUCCCCUGCCUGCAUCCUCAUCCAGGCCCACAGACACACCACAGCGGGCGUGGCGCGCUGAGCGUGGCCGUGCGGCGCUUGGCGGAGGAGGCAGCGGCUGUGUCCUCCUGGGUGCUGAGGUCCAGCAUCUGUCUGUGUCUGCAGGGCAGGAUGGGACACAUGUGCUCCCCAGCAGGGGCGGCAGGCCACCUGUCUGACUGGCCUGCACACAGUGGCGGGACAGUCCAGCUGUCAGCCAGCCUUCAGCAGCAGUCUGUUGAGGAGAACAGAGGAUGUUACUCAACACAGAAAAGGAAAUUUCAGUUUUCAAGAGUGAGAGAAACAGUCUACUGAAGUCUUUCCUGUUCAUCAGUCACUUUGGGUGUGACUGGCAGGCUCAGCGGAGAGGCCAUGUCAUCACUGCCACCUUCUCUCUCAUAUUGAUAACUACAUAAAAGUUUUAAACAUUCUGAGUACAUUUAAUUAUGAGAAGGAAAAAUAAUUCAACAAAAGAUUGCUUUUCUGAGGACAAAGGUCAUCACUCCUGUCAUCCAAGCCUUAUAUAGUUAGCCAGGCCACUUAAAACUUUUACCUCAUGGGUGGUGCAGAAUAUUAUUCAAAAUAAUAGAAUUCUUAUUGUAAAAAGGAGAGAGAGAGAGAGAGAGAGAGAGAGAGAGAGAGAGAGAGAGAGAGAGAGAGAGAGAGAGAGAGAGAGGCAGGGGGGUGAGGGUCCUUUAUGUGUCUGGGGGCAUUUGUCUGUGGGGUUUGUAAACAUACUGUGGGGAGACAUCCUGUGGGUCCUGUGAGGUGAGGUGAGAGAGAGAGAGAGAGAGAGAGAGAGAGAGAGAGAGAGAGAGAGAGAGAGAGAGAGGCGAGGGGGAGGGUCCUUUAUGUAUCUGUGGGGAGACAUCCUGUGUGUCCUGUGUGCUGUGAUGAGGUGAGAGAGAGAGAGAGAGAGUGCACCACAUGGGUUUCCGGGCUGUGUUGUGCUGUUUCUCAUGAGCAACAUUUCAACAGAGCGUUGGACAAGGAAGAUAAUUUGGCAGAGCACAUUUCAGACCUGGCCCUGUUUACAUCCGUGUGGUUCACUGACAAAAUGUGGAUGACCAAAGUACUCGUGAGGGACAUGCAAUGACAGAGUCUGGCAGGUGGAGUGGUUCCUGACACAGGGCCGGCGUGGCGGUGCUGUGAUGUGGUCCAUGGCCAGCGCACCGCCACGCACCGCAAACCACCUGUGCCGGAUUGUUGCAUUCCGUGUCUCUUGUGAGUGCUCUCAUCAUCCACACUGUUAGUGAACCAUAGUGGUGAAAUUACGGCAAGGUCUAAAACACUGCCAAAGUAUCAUCCCUGUGCGACACUUUCUUAAAGUUAUUCCCGAGAAAGAUAUAACACAGCCCUGAAACCCUUACAGUCUCUCUCUGAAACCCACAGUGGCUUUGUUGCCUCACACAUCAACACUGUAAGAAAUGUACACUGUAUUCAGUGAGCUGUGAACUCUGCUCACCUUGUCUGCAAGACUUAAGGAAAUACACUGAAGGGAAGCUCAAA